UACGGAGGGUGCAAGCGUUAUCCGGAUUCACUGGGUUUAAAGGGUGCGUAGGCGGGCAGUUAAGUCAGUGGUGAAAUCCUUGAGCUCAACUCGAGAACUGCCAUUGAUACUAUCUGUCUUGAAUAUUGUGGAGGUAAGCGGAAUAUGUCAUGUAGCGGUGAAAUGCUUAGAUAUGACAUAGAACACCUAUUGCGAAGGCAGCUUACUGCGCAUAUAUUGACGCUGAGGCACGAAAGCGUGGGGAUCAAACAGG
rnacentral:rRNA from 1 species